UACCCAGAACAGGCGGAGCAACAGGCGGAAAGAGCGCGGAGCAAACGGCGGGCGGCCAGCGGAUACCACCGGGGACACCGGGACAGGUGGCACUGGUGGCACCGGUACUGGUGGUACUGGAGUCACCGGUACCGGUUGUACUGGUGUCACUGGUACUGGUGGUACUGGUGUCACUGGUAGUGGUGGGACCGGUGACACCGGUGGUGCUGGUGCCAGUGGUACUGGUGUCACUGGUGGUACUGGUGCUGUUGGUACUGGUGGCACUGGUGUCACUGGGACCGGUGGUACCGGUGGUUCUGGUGCUGGUGGUACCGGUGUCACUGGUGGUACUGGAAUCACUGGUACCGGUUGCACUGGUGUUACUGGUACUGAUGGCUCUGGUACCGGUGGUACCGGUGGUACCGGUGGUACUGGUGGUACUGGUACCAGUGGUACUGGUGGUACCGGUAGCACUGCAGUCACUGGUACUGGUGGUACUGGUGGUACUGGAGUCACCGGUACUGGUGGUACUGGUGGUACCAGUGUCAGUGGUACCGGUAGCCCUCAUACUGGUGGUACUGGUGUUACUGGUGUUACUGGUGUUACUGGUUCCACCGGUAGCAGAGGCGUCACUGGUGGUCCUGCUGUCACUGGUACCGGUUGUACUGGUGGUACUGGUUGUACUGGUGUUACUGGUGUUACUGGUUUUACUGGUGGUACUGGUGUUACUGGUGGUACUGGUGUUACUGGUGUUACUGGUGGUACUGGUGGUACUGGUUUUACUGGUGGUACCGGUCCAUUUUUCAGCCCCGGGGGUCGCGGUGACGUAAUCGGUGACGUAAUCGGUGACGUCAUCAUCGACGGUGAUGUAAUCGAUGGGGGUUCCAUCGCCUGCGCCCAGGGACACCAGUGAGACCAGUAAGGGCUCCCAGUGAAACCAGUAACGGCUCCCAGUGCUCCCAGUAACCCCCCAGUGAAACCAGUAACCCCCCAGUGAGACCAGUAACCCCGCAGUGAAACCAGUAAGGGCUCCCAGUGAAACCAGUAACGGCUCCCAGUGAGACCAGUAACCCCCCAGUGGUCCCAGUAACCCCAGUCCCUCCCAGUCCCCUCCCAGUCCCUCCCAUUCCCCUCCCAGUCCCUCCCAGUCCAUCCCAGUCCCUCCCAGUUCCCAUUUAACCCUUCCCAGUCCAUCCCAGUCCAUCCCAGUCCAUCCCAGUUUACCCAGGACGUUGACCCUGGCGAUGGCCUCGGGGCUGCAGUUCCCCCAAACGUCC
rnacentral:lncRNA from 1 species